rnacentral:rRNA from 1 species
AUUGAACGCUGGCGGAAUGCUUUACACAUGCAAGUCGAACGGCAGCACGGACUUCGGUCUGGUGGCGAGUGGCGAACGGGUGAGUAAUGUAUCGGAACGUGCCCAGUCGUGGGGGAUAACGUAGUGGAAAUUACGCUAAUACCGCAUACGAUCUAUGGAUGAAAGCGGGGGAUCGCAAAACCUCGCGCGAUUGGAGCGGCCGAUAUCAGGUUAGGUAGUUGGUGGGGUAAAGGCCCACCAAGCCAACGAUCUGUAGCUGGUCUGAGAGGACGACCAGCCACACUGGAACUGAGACACGGUCCAGACUCCUACGGGAGGCAGCAGUGGGGAAUUUUGGACAAUGGGCGAAAGCCUGAUCCAGCCAUUCCGCGUGCAGGAUGAAGGCCCUCGGGUUGUAAACUGCUUUUGUACAGAACGAAAAGGUUUCUACUAAUACUAGGAGCUCAUGACGGUACUGUAAGAAUAAGCACCGGCUAACUACGUGCCAGCAGCCGCCGUAA